rnacentral:pre_miRNA from 1 species
AGCCUUCUGUAUGCGUGCUGAGAUUGUGUCAGUGAUCAACCCACUAGGGUUGAUGCAACUUCCCAAAUAAGUGAAGUA